CUCAAGUUCAAGUCCAAGUUUGGAGUCUUUGCCCAGGAAUCCUUUGCAGCCAUCCCUUUUGUUUGCCUUUAACAAUUGUUUUUUAUUCUUCCUUCUGUACAUGGUACUGUCUAGCUGUCUGGACACAAACCUAACAACCUACUUGCUUAGCAUACCCACUCCAGCCACCCAAGCCUACAUACAUAAUCACUGUAGUAAACGUAGUAAACCUGUAGCCAAAUUCGGUGGUGUCAGGAUGGCAUCUCAUCAUUAGUUGCUUCUUUUUGCCUCCAUUUAUACAUUACCAAGUUAGCCAUAAUCCUUAGCAACGGGUCUGGCACCUGUGACUACUCUGCUUGGGUCCCCUGCUGAAUUGCUGAUGGGCUAUGGAACUGAUCUCAGGAACAUGAUAUGGAGGCUCGAGAGCUUACGGAAUCUUCAAAAGACCCCAGAGGAUUAGACCAGGGAACAAUCACCAGCUUGAUUCUGUCCUUUCCUGUGGCAAAUCGGCACGGAACAUGCACUUCUUACAACCAUUCUUUUCUUACCCCAUUCUAAUUCAAGUGAGUAUAAAACAUUUACAGUGCUGGAUGCAUCAAGAGGUGAUGGAGGAGCAUUUUUCUGACAUCAGCAUACAAGAAUAGUUCAAAGAAAAUGAUAAAAGAGAAAGUAUGUUAUGUAGUAAAGCACAGACAAUGAAACUUUAGGGGAGUGUAAAGAGAACUCUUUUGAAUAAACCCCACACUGAAGCUAUGUGACCCCCAAAAUACAUGUUUACUACCAAGCCCAAAACUUUUAAUUUGUUAUAAAUUCUUCUAGGUUUCCAAUCAGCCUUUGGUGCCCUUGCUGCCCUUGCUUAUUCUUUGCUAUUUUACAUUUUCUAUCCAUUCUCUUGCCAUCUAAGGCAAUGUCCUCUCCUGAUUUUGUUUUCACCUGACUUCAGAGGAGCAGAUUUGUUCUUGACUAUUGUUAAUAACUAUGAUGAAACUCAACUGCUGGGUAAACUUCAGAACUAAAGGCCUGGAACUAAUGGUAGGGAGAAGAGACAUGGUCUUUGGUAAUAAAUGAGGGAGAGCAAAAUAGAAGGAAUAGUGAUCAAAGGGUGAGGAAGAGACUGGAGAGUUGCAGGGGGGAGCCAGCUGACUGGUGGGGUGAUGGUAAGGUGCAGACCAAGAACUCAGUUGGACCAAGUGGAGAGGAGCAUGGUGUAAGCAAGUAGCAGGACUGACGUGAAGAUCGAGGGGGAAGGUGAGCUAGCACUAAGCCAUGUUUAUUGCCUUGGGUGCCAAUACUACUAGGCCUUGUUCUGCAGGACUCCAUAGUUUGAAUUUUAGUAAAUUUGCCAUCUAGUAUUUAUUAUAAUGGGGCAACUUUAUCUUGCUACUUACUCAAGUGAAAGCAUAAAGUGUCCAUUAAAUAAUUGCUUUUAGGAGUUUUCAAGCAAAUUAAAUCAAGUCACUCAACCCUCUUAAGGGCUUUUAGAGACAAUUCAAAGGAUCAGUUGCCUUUUAAAUCUCUAUAUAUAGUUAUAUACUGUAUAUACAAUUGCAUAUUAAUUUUAAUGGAUACUUUUUACAGAAGUUGCACCAGUGACAUGUUUUUAUUUCUAUGAGCUGCUUCAUUUCUCUGUCAGAUUAUUUUCUGUUUGCCAGAUAUUCCGCUCCAGCAGCUGAGUCCUUUUGUUGUCUAUAUAAUCAGAAUUAACUGAAAAGGUUUGUUUGUCCAUGAACUCAAGAUGGUUCCUCUCAUUUGUUCAUUGCACACUUACAUUUUCAAAUACUCUAAAUGUGGCAUAAUCAGCUGCCUAUUUGCUUUUGUUUCAGGUUGGAUAGGCAGAGAGAUAGCAGGUUGUAAGUUGUUUUGCAUUGUACUUUAUAUCACAUCAUUGAAUAGACUUCAUAAACAAAGCCUACACAAAGGGUUUUAGAAAUGUGCUGAGAUAAACUGCAACAUGUUAUAAUGCUCUUUCUGGGACUAUAUGAAAUAUAUGGAUUGCAUUGUGUUUUAUGAUAGGAUACAGCACAUGUGUAACCUAUGGGACCUGUAAUAUACCCCUGCCUCCUGAAUUGCAUGUCUGCAUUAUACAGCCCCAGAAUAUUCUACAAGCAGCUCACUAUUAGCAAAAUAUGUCAGAGAUGCCAGUCUGUUUUCUUUCACAAUAAAGUUUGCUGGGACCAGUUUUAAAGGGGGGCAGACAGGGAUUUUGCCCUCAUCCACCUGCACCAGGGAAUCUUCUCCUAUGAAGAAAAGUUAUGAAAAGUUCAAACAAACCUACAGUGUAUUGUACAUCAAAAUGUUUUCAUGAAUCGGGAAUGUCCAACUCCGGCCAUACAGCACACAAAUAACUGCAUAUUGAACACACUUGAAAUACAAUCUUUACCACUGAAAUUGCACACUGUGGAGUUACUUAUUGUCCUACCCCUGACUUACCGGUUGAUAUCUUAGAGAAGAAAUUGAGUUUGUCUGGCUGCAGUAAUACUGCCUGUGUAAUCCAAUCCUACCAUGCCAGGUGUGUAUCUCAUGGAACCAGUGAGGAUCGCUGAACAUAAGUGAGAAAAUAGGGGCCUUUGUAAUCUGAACUGGGUUUCACUUCUGGGCAUGUAGAUAUGAAAGUAACAAUGGGUUGAAAGGGUUACAGAUGGAGCAUUCUGCAUGGGGAAUGUGUCUGCUCAGCAUUCUAUUUGUCCCUCUCCCUUAGUAAACCUAUCUCCAUCUUUUCUUCUUUCUCCUCCUCCAUGUUAUCACUUCAUAUUACAUUGUUUCUGCUGGCCUUGUUUUAUUUUUACUAUUUCUUUUUACAGUUUAUACAGCUUCAGCAUUUUAAAGUGUGCUCUGCUACCAUCACCCACAAUUAUACUUGGAACAGCAAGCAAAGAAAAUCUAAGACUGAAUGGAACAGCAGUGUCAAUCAUUCUUUUAUAUUUUUAUCCAGUGGAAUUAUUAAUGCGCCUUUCCGACAGCACCAGUUGUGACGAUACAGAUUCUGGCCAUAUAAAUCAGAUGCCCUUUUCAAGAAAUAUGUCAUUGAAUUAAAGCCAUUUCAAUGCUCCAACCAUUUUCAGCCCAAUGUAAUGUUAACAAUACCUGCUGAGAUACAUUACACAUCACUGACAUAAAAACAUGGUUUGGCUAUGCAUUUUAGCUUCAGUGAUUCUGCAGGAAGACUUAUUUUCUGCUGGGUUUCAUCCCUAGGUGAUGGCUUGGCAACCACCCUACAAAAUCAGGUCAAUUGGAUUUAAUGUUUCAUAUUCAUGAGCAAUGGAGCAACAAAACAAAUGAAAAUGGGGCAAAAGGAAAAGCAGUGCUAAAUCCUACAAUAUACUUCACUUGUAAAGGUGCUGGUCAUUACCCCCUGGCUAUCCAGCUUCAAUUCAGAGUGCUCAGUCUUGAGCACUACUUCCAAAGGCAAAGGUUAGUUCUCACUGAAAUAAGGGUGCCAUAGGUCAGUAGAUUGGCUUUGAAUUCUAUAUUUAUAAAAUGUGGCUCAAUCCCUACUAUUUAUAAUGUAUACAAGUGCCAUUAACAAAUAUGCCUUUAAGUUAAAUGGCCUUUAAAAGGUUAUGUAAGAAAUAGCACUGGGUAUCAUAGUUGCCAGCUGUUGGCCUUGAGUUAAGAUCUGUCAAGGUCAACAAGGACACUGGUACUUUGAAACAAAAUAUUGAAAAUAAAAAGCUUGUACAUCUUUAGAGGACGGCAAUCCAUCACAAAAGUAGCCAGAGGCUAAUAUUCUUGGAAUGCAUGCAGAUAUUUUAUUGUUAGAUGUUUGCUGCUCUGUGCAAUUAUUAUGGGAAUAUGUGCUGAUACAUUGCCUUUCUUAUACAUGCAACUGGACUAAAGCCUCUACUUCACUGUUCCCUGUGGCCAUCAGGGCUGUGUCUUGAAUUUACUACAUUAUAAUCAAGAUAUGCUAAUUCAAAGGUUUCAUACGUUCAUACGUUGCCCCAGAGCAUGUUUGUUAAAUCCCCUCUUGUCGUGCUGGUCUGACGCCAAUGAAUGAGAAUUAAACAGAGAUGCGCCAUGCAUGGUUUGCUGUCAGUAUUGCAGUCAGUAGACGGAAAGAAAAAUGAGCACUAUUGAAACGGAAUGCAUGUAUGAACCACCCAAUUUACUGUUGAACAGAGAGCUCCAGUAUGGUAAUCAUGGCAAGAGAAUCGUGACUGAUGUGCUUGCUCUACAAUUUUCCCCCAGAACCAUUUUUCAGGGCACUGUCUGAGGGUUAUUUAAACAUGGCUUUUCUGCUGAGGUCAUUGCCUUGACAACAAUUAAGCAGGGAGAGGAAAAACUUCCUGGACACAUGAAGAGAUGAAUCUGUUUUUCUCUUCCUAAUAAAUGGUACAGACCUUCUGAGAAACAAUAUGCAAAUCUGUGGAAAUGCUCUGUGAAUAGUGAAGAGUUACAUUCUAGAAAACGCCACCAGAUCACUAAUUAUAAUUUUAGUGGAGGCUGCUUCUUUUGCAUAUCUUCCAUUGUAACAAGCAGAUACGUUGGGCAGGUGUGGUCUCCCACAUAAUAACGUCUCUCUCUACAGCAAAUUUGUUUCACAUACUGCUUAUUUUAAAAGGGUUUUGGUUUUAGUAAGAAAUAAUAUAUCUGGGAACAGUUCUUCAUAUAAACUGCAGUAUCACACCAGCAUAUAACAGUAUAAAACAGACUGGUUUACAGUUGUAAUGGUUGGGCUUGUGCUGUGUCCUUACUAACUGUUGUCCCAGAUGUAUUCCUUAGUGGCAGUGUGGACAGGUUUAUGCUAUUAGUUUUCUUUUCCAAAUACUUAUGCUUAAAAUAACUUCCUACAGCUUUCAUGAAUUAAAAUUAAUCUAUCACACAGGAACUGGGUUUGAAUGUUGUUUGAUACCUUUCGAAAAAGUGCAGCACUCCCCUGAGGACAGAUAGGCAGGAAUCUCACUUUCCCUUUGUGACACCCUGUAGUGGGCUGGAUCUCCUCAGGAAAUUCCUUUAUCCUGGUUUCCUAUCAAAUGGGAACCCUACACUACAGGCAAUAUGGCAUGGAGCUCAGAACUGCUCUUUCUAGCUCAACUAUAACUGCCUUACACUCCUAAAUGUACUGAUAUGGAAACUACACCUGGCCCAUGCCCAGGCUCACAACAACAUCCACCCUGUUCCUCAGGUGGGAACCAAAGGGAAAGUGCCAAUUCUUUCCCAGCAUUAUAUCAAUGUGAUGCAGGAAUGGUCACCCUACCUGCUAGCCAGUAGCAUCUAAAUGUAAAUUAACUUACUUAGAUAAAUUCCCUUGCUCGCAGAAACUAAGGGACAUGAUCCUGUAGGGGCUUAAAGCCAUAGGGGCCAUUUAACCAUAUAGGUCCCUACAAUUCUCUUUUUAUUGGAACAUAACUAUUUUGUUUUUAAUUUCUGUCUCUAUGUGCAGAGAUGGGGGAUGGAAAUUUAAGGGAAGAAUUUGAGCAUUUUGCAACACAAUGAAUUGUAACAAGUUAAAUCUUAAGUUUACUAGUCAGUUCUGUAUAGAAAACAUUUAAUAAAUAUGCCCCUUUAUGUACAUGUGACACUUUUAGCCAAUAGAAUUAAAUACUAAAUACACAGAAAGAGGUUGUGGGAGCACUCCAAGGCUAAAUAAAGUAUACAAAUACAAUGG